UACGGAGGAUCCAAGCGUUAUCCGGAAUUACUGGGCGUAAAGAGUUGCGUAGGUGGCACUGUAAGUUGGUAGUGAAAGCGUUCGGCUCAACCGAAUAUCCAUUACCAAAACUGCAGAGCUAGAGGACAAGAGAGGCAUCUGGAAUUCCUAGUGUAAGGAGUGAAAUCCGUAGAUAUUAGGAGGAACACCGAUGGCGUAGGCAGGGUGCUGGCUUGUUCCUGACACUAAGGCACGAAAGCGUGGGGAGCGAACGGGG
rnacentral:rRNA from 1 species